UAGAAUCAGGCAAGUGAUAGUUCGAGCUAACGGAAAAUUAUAUAGACGAGCAGUGGCAAAGAUUGCGGUGCCGGAGAUUGGAAACGGAACACCUGGUUUCGUAUAGAGGAUCUCCACCAGAGUUACGGGAGGGGCUGUUGCGGCACCUGGCCACACUGCACGAAACGAUGGGUGGCGAAAUUUAGGUAGUUGAAUUCAACGCGCGUCGGAAAUGUCAACCAUCUAGAGAAAGGGAGAAACAAAAACAAAACCAAGGAUUGCGAAGAGCUAUUGCGGUGUGAAUUUGUUCCUAAAAGAAAAGUUGAAUUAUCGGUUAAAGUGAAUUAGUAGUACGGGUGUUAUUAGUAAAAAUAGAAGUAGCGGACAGUUUAGAGAGAUUGUUAGAGGAAGUUUGGAAAGUGAUAGCGAGGAGUGAAAAACUAUUCAUGUAUGUUAGAAUUAGAACAAAAUGGUGAAAAAUGAAACUAAUAUACUAUUUUUACAGUUUUGAGCUGCAACACUAGAAGCUGCUUCAAAAAUUAGUUUGAGAUCCGAACAACUGG